UACGGACAUAUCACGUUGAAGCUCCGGUUCUCGGGAGAUCACUGAAGUUAAGAACGUCAAGCCUGGUCAGUACCUAGAUGGGUAACCGCUUGGGAAUGUCAGGUGCUGUAA